AACUCUCAUCUUGAAACUCUACAUCUCUAAUUUAUAUUUAUUAUAUAUGGAGUUGCUGUAACAUUUUGGAUUAAGGCAAGCAAGGAAAGGAUCAUCUGUCGGGCCAAUCUGCGUUGAUCCAGAAUUUAACCCAAGUAGCGAUAUGAGAAAAUUUCAGAGAUCAAAUCUGCGGCAAUCAUCCCAAAUAGGUAGAUGGGGUAUUUGACUCACAGCUGCGGCAGCAUGCACAAUGCUCAUGAUGAUCACUAGUCUAGUCCACCCUCCCAAGUCAACGUUUCCUUCAGUGUAUAUAUACAUAUACGGAUACUAUAUCUGCAUAUCGGAAACUCUCACCUCGAGCCUUUUUACAGAAACCAGGAGAAGCAAUUUGCAGCAGGCGAUUUAUUCCAAAUUAUUAAGCAAGGAAUGGGACUGGAAGUCAUCAAUACCAAAUGUCAUAGAGCUUCACGAGGCUGGAGUCAAAUUCAAAAAGGCAGAAACAGAUUUUGUCACUACACCUAUUUUGGCCGUGAUUUCUAUUAUGCUGGCAUUAUCAAGGAAGUGAACAAGCACUGUGACAGACCAUGGAAUAGAUGGAUGGCGAAAUUAAGGGGGGAUUAUUUCAACAGCCCUUGGGCAUUGCUUUCAGUUCUAGCGGCUGUCUUAUUGCUUCCAUUAGCAAUUGCACAAACCGUAUUUUCCAUUCUUUCUUACGUUUUCAACUGAGUCAUUACUACUGUUUAACCUUUUUAAUUAGUUAUUGUAAUAAAAUCUCUCUACUUCAGUACUUACGUGGCUCCUCAGGAAGUCUUCUCUCUUGAGUUUCCAAUCAUCUUUUGUUGAAUAUUGGACGGAUUAAUUAGCACCCAAACCAACUUAGGGGCUGCAGUUUAUACUUGCUUUUUCGACUUUAA